GCUCACCAAGGCGACGACGGGUAGCCGGCCUGAGAGGGCGACCGGCCACACUGGGACUGAGACACGGCCCAGACUCCUACGGGAGGCAGCAGUGGGGAAUAUUGCACAAUGGGCGAAAGCCUGAUGCAGCGACGCCGCGUGAGGGAUGACGGCCUUCGGGUUGUAAACCUCUUUCAGCAGGGAAGAAGCGAAAGUGACGGUACCUGCAGAAGAAGCGCCGGCUAACUACGUGCCAGCAGCCGCGGCCGA
rnacentral:rRNA from 1 species